AGAGUUUGAUCAUGGCUCAGGACGAACGCUGGCGGCGUGCUUAACACAUGCAAGUCGGACGAUUUUUGUGGACGCGGAUCUUUCAGGAGAAGCAUUCUUGGAGAUAGUGGCGGACGGGUGAGUAACGCGUGAAUUACCUGCCCUGGGGAGGGGGAUACCGUCUGGAAACGGACGUUAAUACCCCGGAAGCCGGGAGGUGAAAUGCCUGUAAAGGCUGCCCUGGGAGGGUUUCGCGUCCUAUCAUCUGGUUGGUGGGGUAACGGCUCACCACGGCGAAGACGGGUAGCCGGUCUGAGAGGAUGGACGGCCACGCUGGAACUGACACACUGUCCAGACUCCUACGGGAGGCAACUGUGGGGAAUAUUGGGCAAUGGGCGGAAGCCUGACCCACCGACGCCACGUGAGGUAUGAAAGCCCUUGGGUUGUAAACCUCUGUUGUACGGGAAGAAGCUAGUGACGGAACCGUACGAGGAAGCCCCGGCAAACUACGUGCCAGCAGCCGCGGUAACACGUACGGGGCGGGCGUUGUCCGGAAUUACUGGGCGUACAGGGUACGCAGGCAGAUAUGUGUGUUUGUUGUGAAAUGCCACGGCUCAAUCCUGGAGUUGCUGCAUAAACUGCAUAUCUGGAAUACUGGAGAGGGAAGCGGAGUUCCCGGUGUAUCGGUGAAAUGCGUAGAUAUCGGGAGGAACACCAGUGGAGGAGGAGGCUUACUGGACAGUAACUGACGCUCAUGUGCGAAAGCUGGGGUAGCGAACCGGAUUAGAUACCCGGGUAGUCCCAGCUGUAAACGCUGAAUGCUAGGUGUGGGUGUGAUAGGGCAUCCGUGCCGGAGUUAACGCGAUAAGCAUUCCGCAUGGGGAGUACGGUGGCAAGAUUGAAACUCAAAGGAAUUGACGGGGGCCCGCACAAGCGGUGGAGCACGUGGUUUAAUUCGAUGCAAACCGAAGAACCUUACCUGGGUUUGACAUGUACGUGUUAUUGAUCUGAGAGGAGAGGGAUCCCAUGAUUGGGUAUGGGAGCGUACACAGGUGGUGCAUGGCUGUGGUCAGCUCGUGUGGUGAGAUGUUGGGUUAAGUCCCGCAAAGAGCGCAACCCAUGCAUCCUGUUGCCAUCGGGCGAGCCGGGCACUAUGGAGGGACUGCCGGCGAUAAGCCGGAGGAAGGUGGGGAUGACGUCAAGUCAUCAUGGCCCUUAUGUGCAGGGCGACACACGUGCUACAAUGGCCGGCACAGCGGGAAGCGGAGGGGCGUCCUUGAGCGGAUUCCUUGAAAGCCGGUCCCAGUUCGGAUUGCAGUUUGCAAAUCGAGUGCAUGAAGUCGGAAUCGCUAGUAAUCGCGGAUCAGCCAAGCCGCGGUGAAUACGUUCCCGGGCAUUGUACACAUCCGCCCGUCACACCACCAGAGUUGGGUGCACCAGAAGCCUGGUGGCCGAACCCGCAAGGGGCGGAGCCGUCGAAGGUGUGCCUGGUAAGGGGGGUGAAGUCGUAACAAGGUAACCG
rnacentral:rRNA from 1 species